GACGAACGCUGGCGGCGUGCCUAAUACAUGCAAGUAGAACGCUGAAGGAGGAGCUUGCUUCUCUGGAUGAGUUGCGAACGGGUGAGUAACGCGUAGGUAACCUGCCUGGUAGCGGGGGAUAACUAUUGGAAACGAUAGCUAAUACCGCAUAAUAGUAGAUGUUGCAUGACAUUUGCUUAAAAGGUGCAAUUGCAUCACUACCAGAUGGACCUGCGUUGUAUUAGCUAGUUGGUGGGGUAACGGCUCACCAAGGCGGGGAUACAUAGCCGACCGGCGAGGGCGAUCGGCCACACUGGGACUGAGACACGGCCCAGAGGCCUACGGGAGGCAGCAGGAGGGAAUCUUCGGCAAUGGACGGAAGUCUGACCGAGCAACGCCGCGUGAGUGAAGAAGGUUUUCGGAUCGUAAAGCUCUGUUGUAAGAGAAGAACGAGUGUGAGAGUGGAAAGUUCACACUGUGACGGUAUCUUACCAGAAAGGGACGGCUAACUACGUG
rnacentral:rRNA from 1 species